rnacentral:lncRNA from 1 species
GCUCUCUUGGUCUCUUGUUUCUCUCUUGCUCUUUCUCAGCUCCCCACCACCACCACCACAUGCUCAUGGGAGGCCUCUUCUCUCCUCCUCUACUUCUCUACUCUCUCUCUCUCUCUCUGCUCUUCUCUGCCUCUCUUACGCUCUUAACUUCUCUCUCCAUGCCCUGAAUAAACUCUAUUCUGUACUA